GACGAACGCUGGCGGCGUGCCUAAUACAUGCAAGUAGAACGCUGAAGGAGGAGCUUACUUCUCUGGAUGAGUUGCGAACGGGUGAGUAACACGUAGGUAACCUGCCUGGUAGGGGGGGAUAACUAUUGGAAACGAUAGCUAAUACCGCAUAAGAGUAGAUGUUGCAUGACAUUUACUUAAAAGGUGCAAUUGCACCACUACCAGAUGGACCUGGGUUGUAUUAGCUAGUUGGUGGGGUAACGGCUUACCAAGGCGACGAUACAUAGCCGACCUGAGAGGGUGAUCGGCCACACUGGGACUGAGACACGGCCCAGACUCCUACGGGAGGCAGCAGUAGGGAAUCUUCGGCAAUGGACGGAAGUCUGACCGAGCAACGCCGCGUGAGUGAAGAAGGUUUUCGGAUCGUAAAGCUCUGUUGUAAGAGAAGAACGAGUGUGAGAGUGGAAAGUUCACACUGUGACGGUAUCUUACCAGAAAGGGACGGCUAACUACGUGCCAGCCGCCGCCGUAA
rnacentral:rRNA from 1 species